AGAUCACCAAGGGCACACGGUGGAUGUCUUGGCGUCAGAAGGCGAUGAAGGACGUGGGUACCUGCGAUAAGCGUUGGGAAGCCGGAAACCAGGCAAUGAUCCAACGAUUUCCGAA
rnacentral:rRNA from 1 species